CCUUCUUUGGUCCAGUUUUGCGUGUGUAUAGGGGAAAAACAGGCGGAGAUGAAGUACUUAGGACAGUUUUUAUUCCAUUUUUCAUUUAGCCAUAAUUAUUUAGUAACUAUACAUUCAGCAUUGUUCACUGGCACCUUUUUUGACCAGGUGUUGGGGUUCUGUUGGUCAAGCUAGUUCUGUCAGAUUGAACCCAAUUCUAUGAUUAUACAGUGCUCCUGUCAAAUUCAGGCCAGUUAAUAAUUCUAAAUCAGGCUUAGAAAGGAAAUUCUGAGAUUAUACAGUGAAUAGUUGUAAAUCAGUUUUAGGAGAUUCUGGGAUUAUACAGUGCUGUCAAAUUCAGGCCAGUCAAUAAUUCUAAAUCAGUCUUAGAAAGGAGAUUCUGAGAUUAUACAGUGAAUAGUUGUAAAUCAGUUUUAGGAGAUUCUGGGAUUAUACAGUGCUCCUGUCCAAUUCAGGCCAGUCAAUAAUUCUAAAUCAGGUUUAGAAAGGAAAUUCUGAGAUUAUACAGUGCUCCUGUCAAAUUCAGGCCAGUCAAUAAUUCUAAAUCAGGCUUAGAAAGGAAAUUCUGAGAUUAUACAGUGAAUAGUUGUAAAUCAGUUUUAGGAGAUUCUGGGAUUAUACAGUGCUCCUGUCCAAUUCAGGCCAGUCAAUAAUUCUAAAUCAGGCUUAGAAAGGAAAUUCUGAGGUUAUACAUUGAAUAGUUAUAAAUCAGUUUUAGGAGGUUCUGGGAUUAUACUGUGCUCCGGUCCAAUUCAGACCAGUUCUAAAUAAGGAUUAGAAGGGAGAUUCUGAAAUUAUACAGUUAGGGUUAGAAACAUGAUUCUUUGAUUUAACAGUGUUCCUGUCCAAUUCAGACUUAUAAUGCUUCUAAAUCAGGAUUGGAAACACAAUUCUAUGAUUCUGUGGUACUCCUGUCCAGCUCAGACCUUAUCUUUCUAUAUCUGGUUUGUAAAAUUGAUCAUAUGAUUUUACAGUGCUUCUGCACAAAUCAGACUAGUAAACGUUUCUUUGAUAAGGCUUUGAAAGGAGAUUCUAUAAUUAUCCAGUGCUCUUGUCCAAAUCUGACCGGUCUCUUUUUAAAUUAGUUAGAAACAUGAUUCUAAUUUUUUUUCAGUGCAUCUGUGAGAUUCACAGAUGUUUCUAAAUCGGGAUUAGAGGUAAUCUGUCAUAUUCUACAGUAUUCCAGUGGAAAAUGAGGGUCCUGUUAGGAUUAAGAAAAAUUCUGGGACAUUUUACAGUAUUUUAGUUAAAAUAAUUUUCCCCUAUCCAGAAUUGUUUUUAAAGCAUUAUCAAGACCACUAGCUGUGGAAGUUUUUAGCAGUGAAAGCAAUUUCAUCUGAUGCCGAUUACUUGUUUGACAGUAAUGAAACACUAAAUUGUUUAGUGAGGAGGGUAUGUUAUAUGGAAAUUAGCAUUUUUUUAUGCUGUCACUAUUAGGCACGGUGAUUUUCUCCAGGUAAAAGUUAUAUCACUCUUGAUUCUAGAAUCAAGGUAAGUUCUCAGUAGGGUUUAGGACCUUGGCACUGUCAGAGACAACUGUGGCUUUAAUUAGACUUUAAAAGAGGCCUGCAUUUUUUCAGCCACAAUGUGAUUGGGUGCGGAAUUGAAAGAAGCUUUGGGAAGAUUAUGGUGGUCCUUUGACCAUGUGGAAGGGCAGGCAUAGCCAAAGUAGGUCAAAGGUCACCCGUAUCGACACAUUGUAUUAGAGUUUUAUGGGAUUCAUUGAGAUGUGAGGCUUUACAUGUCUGGUGAUUGGUGAGGAGGGCUGUAGUGAUGCGGCGUGUGUGUGUGUGAGUGAGUGAGAGGGGGGCCCUGUUACUUAGGGUUAUCGUUUAAAGGACAGACGUGCCAGAUUCCCACUUCCUCCGCUUCUCUGUCCCCUACUCUGUGUGUUUCGCUUUAGUGCAAACUCCUGGCCCACACAUCUUUCUCCCGCCCCUACACUGCUUUAAUCGCUCUAGCGGAAUGUUCUCAUUGCCAUUGGGGGGGGGGGGGGGGGGGGGGGGUGGGCUGGGAGCUGAAAGGCAGCACUGGGGCUACAAAGUGGCACACAAUGAUAUUGCUCAGAAUUAUCCUGCUGUGGCUAGUUU